ensembl:lncRNA
CCGGGCUAUAAUCUAUGAAACUGAGCCCGGAUCCAGCCAAUCAGUUAGCUCCUCAUAACAGGUCUAACUGGCUCUGGACAGCUGAAGGGCUGCGCUGGAGCACAGCAGAGGAGUAUACUCUCCACAACACUGCAUGUCUACAGUCACUUUGCCUGCAAAGGCCAGAGGGGGAAAAAUUCACAGCUUCAUUGUCUCGGGGAGGGAGGACAGGUGAUCUGGCACAGACGGAGUCCGAAGCUGGAGCAAGCUGUCCUGGCGUGGCAGUCCCAGCAAGUGCAGACCAGAGCCACCCCAGACACCAAACUGCGAGCCUGCAGCCAAACCCUGAGGAUCAGGUAUGACAAGAAGACACACAAAUGACAGCCAGGCCUUUCUGGGACUGAGAAUCACAUUGCAAUAACAGAAAUUUUCCCUUAGGAGCAAAUCUGCCCUGUAUUCACAGCUCUCUGGACCAGAAAAGAAUAUCCAAUUUUUACUUCUCCACGCAGGGCCUCCUCAGAGGAGGUCUACACAGCUCUGCUCUGUCCCUGUGGCCUGUGAACCUUCCUCUCCAUAGUAAAUAGCACCAUCCAACAAGAGCAGAUUUCUCACUUCUAUAAUAAAAUCAGGCAAGAGUCUAGCAUUGGCUGUCUUCUGAGAGGCUCCACCCACCAGCUGACUCAGACAGAUGCAGACACCCACAGCCCAACAAUGGAUGAAGCUUGGAGACUGUUAUGGAAGAAUAGAAGGAAGGAAUACAGCCACAAAGGGGAUAGGAAAACCAACAGAAUCAACUGACCUGGACCCUUACAGCUCUCAAAGACUGAACCACCAACCAAAGAACACACAUGGACUGGACCUAGACCUCCCUCACAUAUGUAAUAGAUGUGCAGCUUGGUCUUCCUGUGUGACCUAAACAACUGGAACGGGGGCUAUCCCUAAGCUGUUGCCUGUAUGUGAGAUCUGUUCUUCUAGCUGGGCUGCCUCAACGGGAGAGAAAGAACCUACCCUCCCAGAAACGUGAAGGGUCACGGUUGGGAGGAGAGUAUACCAAGGGGAGCCCCUAUCUGCUCUGAGAAGAAGGGGAGGGGAGAU